UACGUAGGUGGCAAGCGUUGUCCGGAAUUAUUGGGCGUAAAGCGCGCGCAGGCGGUUCUUUAAGUCUGAUGUGAAAGCCCACGGCUCAACCGUGGAGGGUCAUUGGAAACUGGAGAACUUGAGUACAGAAGAGGAAAGCGGAAUUCCACGUGUAGCGGUGAAAUGCGUAGAGAUGUGGAGGAACACCAGUGGCGAAGGCGGCUUUCUGGUCUGUAACUGACGCUGAGACGCGAAAGCGUGGGGAGCGAACCGG
rnacentral:rRNA from 1 species